rnacentral:rRNA from 1 species
ACCUGGUUGAUUCUGCCAGUAGUCAUAUGCUUGUCUCAAAGAUUAAGCCAUGCAUGUCUAAGUAUAAGCAAACUAUACGGUGAAACUGCGAAUGGCUCAUUAAAUCAGUUAUCGUUUAUUUGAUAGUACCUUACUACUUGGAUACCCGUGGUAAUUCUAGAGCUAAUACAUGCUAAAAACCUCGACUUCGGAAGGGGUGUAUUUAUUAGAUAAAAAACCAAUGCCCUUCGGGGCUCCUUGGUGAUUCAUAGUAACUUAUCGAAUCGCAUGGCCUUGCGCCGGCGAUGGUUCAUUCAAAUUUCUGCCCUAUCAACUUUCGAUGGUAGGAUAGUGGCCUACCAUGGUGGCAACGGGUAACGGGGAAUUAGGGUUCGAUUCCGGAGAGGGAGCCUGAGAAACGGCUACCACAUCCAAGGAAGGCAGCAGGCGCGCAAAUUACCCAAUCCCGAUACGGGGAGGUAGUGACAAUAAAUACUGAUACAGGGCUCUUUCGGGUCUUGUAAUUGGAAUGAGAACAAUCUAAAUCCCUUAACGAGGAACAAUUGGAGGGCAAGUCUGGUGCCAGCAGCCGCGGUAAUUCCAGCUCCAAUAGCGUAUAUUAAAGUUGUUGCAGUUAAAAAGCUCGUAGUUGAACCUUGGGUCUGGCUGGCCGGUCCGCCUCACCGCGUGCACUGGUCCGGCCGGACCUUUCCUUCUGGGAAGCCCCAUGGCCUUCACUGGCUGUGGGGGGAACCAGGACUUUUACUGUGAAAAAAUUAGAGUGUUCAAAGCAGGCCUUUGCUCGGAUACAUUAGCAUGGAAUAAUAGAAUAGGACGUGUGGUUCUAUUUUGUUGGUUUCUAGGACCGCCGUAAUGAUUAAUAGGGAUGGUCGGGGGCGUCAGUAUUCGGCUGUCAGAGGUGAAAUUCUUGGAUUUGCUGAAGACUAACUACUGCGAAAGCAUUCGCCAAGGAUGUUUUCAUUAAUCAGUGAACGAAAGUUAGGGGAUCGAAGACGAUCAGAUACCGUCGUAGUCUUAACCAUAAACUAUGCCGACUAGGGAUCGGACGGGGUUCAUAUGAUGACCCGUUCGGCACCUUACGAGAAAUCAAAGUUUUUGGGUUCUGGGGGGAGUAUGGUCGCAAGGCUGAAACUUAAAGAAAUUGACGGAAGGGCACCACAAGGCGUGGAGCCUGCGGCUUAAUUUGACUCAACACGGGGAAACUCACCAGGUCCAGACAAAAUAAGGAUUGACAGAUUGAGAGCUCUUUCUUGAUCUUUUGGGAUGGUGGUGCAUGGCCGUUCUUAGUUGGUGGAGUGAUUUGUCUGCUUAAUUGCGAUAACGAAACGAGACCUUAAACCUGCUAAAUAGCCCCGGCCCCGCGUCUGGCGGGGCCGCUGGCUUCUUAGAGGGGACAAAUCGGCUUCAGGCCGAUUGAAAUGUGGGGGGAAUAACAGGUCUUGUUAACGCCCUUAAAAUUUUUUUGUGCCCGAAGCCCCUUAACAGUUGAUU